AUUGAACGCUGGCGGCAGGCUUAACACAUGCAAGUCGAACGAGCGGCGGACGGGUGAGUAAUGUCUGGGAAACUGCCUGAUGGAGGGGGAUAACUACUGGAAACGGUAGCUAAUACCGCAUACCAUCAGAUGUGCCCAGAUGGGAUUAGCUAGUAGGUGGGGUAAUGGCUCACCUAGGCGACGAUCCCUAGCUGGUCUGCGCGGAUGACCAGCCACACGGGAACGGAGACACGGUACAGACGCCUACGGGAGGCAGGAGUGGGGAAUAGUGCACAAGGGGCGAAAGCCUGAUGCAGACACGCCGCGUGUGGGAAGAAGGCUUGGGGGUUGUAAAGCACGUUCAGCGAGGAGGCGUUACUCGCAGAAGAAGCACCGGCUAACUCCGUGCGAGCCGCCGGUAAUUC
rnacentral:rRNA from 1 species